AGAUCGAUUUUGCCCCUGAAAUUGUAAGCUUGUAUUUACAUAAUUUAUUAUCUAAUCAAAAGUAUACAUCUUUAACAUUCCUGAAUUAUCUGAAGUCUAAGAUGAGACAGUUAAUAGAAAUGCUUCAUCAUAUUAUAGCUUCUUUUGUUUGAUGAAUUUUUGUGCUCUGAGAAAUUGUUGGUUUAUGCAUUGCAUUCUUAGGGCUACUACUCGAUGCCUUCAUAAUAAGCCUGAUGUCAUUUCAACUUCUUUCGCUAGUAGCUUUGUUGCUGUUUCAGUAAGAGUAGAUACCUAGUCUUGUGUGAUAGUAGUCCAGGUUAUAUGAUCAAAAUGUAGAUUUGCCUAAUGGGUACAAGUUACUGGAAGCAGGUGAUUCAUAACGGGAAUAUGUACUGUUAUUACAGGGUGAAACUAAACCUUUUAAG
rnacentral:misc_RNA from 1 species